AAAACAUUAAUGAGUUGGUGGAAAUUGUUGUGGACUAUUCCUCUAUGUCAUAUAUUUGUAUUACGUUGAAGCAUGACUAAUCAGUUAAUUUGGAUUCCAUUUUAGUGUUUAAAAUUGUUAACAUUGAAGAAGUAGAAGAUGAUCAACCCAAGGAAAUAUACUUCACCGUCGGGCAACGUGGUUGCGUUUUGCUGCACGUUGAUGGCUACAAAUUCGUAAAGAAUCGUAAGGGGGCAUACAAAACCUAUUGGAUCUGCGCUAAAAAGGGAAGUACAGCCUGCAAAGCUAGAGUCAUCACCCCGGCAAACAGUGAGGAGAAAAAGGUUCCCACGUUGAUAGCUCGCAGCGGAACACAUAAUCACCCUGUAUUCGUAGAACGAAAAUCCCGCAGUUCUGCCAACCAUAGGAUUUUACUUUUCAAAGACCCAUAGUGAAAUAAAUUUAUCUCAACUGAAACUUUGUGUUUCGUGCAAUCGUUUUGAAUCCUGAAGAGUGUCGUUUAUGCAUGAGUUUUGGAUUAAUGGAUUUCUAUUUUCCUUUAUAGAUGACAACGACGUUGACCAGAUUUACUUCAUUGCGGAGAUCAUCGGUUCUGGUUCUGCAGAGGGAAUGAAAACUGUGAAAAUACCCACAAAGAAGAAAAGUAGAUCCAAAUCCGCAACGAUGCCUUCGGCAAACAAUGAAAUGUUCAAUUUUGAAAGCGAUGGUUCACCUUCGAAGCCCACCUACACAACUGGCCGGGGAAAUAACGUUCUCAACUACCAGGGCCACCGCUACAUCAAGAACAAUGCGCACAGCGGGAAAAUUUACUGGAAGUGUACCAAAUGGCACAGUGGGUGCAAAGGACGUGCCAUUACCAACGGGCUGGUUCCGGGCUUGGUUAUUCUGAAGAAUACGCACAACCACGAACAAUUGUAAUUUCAUCAACGGCGGUUUUUGAUUUUAAGCCAAAUAAAAAUGAACAGAAUUGAUCGACCUUCCUCAUAUUUUCCAACCGUGAUUUUUAAGUAAUAUUCGUUUAGCUAUCUUAAGCUCAUAAGCUCCCGCAACACCAAUGGUUGAGAAGUCAGUUUCUUUUUUUUGGUUUUUAUUAAUGUGUAUUUUAACUUAAAUGCUAAUUCUACACUCAAGUCAUCUUUGUGAACUUUAAAGUGGAUAAAAUACCGUAGCAACUUCUUGAGAGCCUCUUGUUGAAAUUUCUGAAAUUCGCCACAAACUUGAUGAAUCGUCAUAUAGCAAAACAUCAUCCCAGUAAAAUAAUGCUAACUUGCACUGCAAUCGUUUUAUGAAUUUCCAUUUCACGUGGUCCCUAAUGUUCAUUCAAUCUAGUACUACAUCGAAUAAUGCAUCAACUCUUAAGUGCCCUUUCAUACCAACUUUAUGCAAUCGCAACCACUUCUUGCAUCGCCUAAUUUUAGCCGUGAUACAUUCAGUCAAAGCGAUUGCUACUUGGUUGUGGAUAACGGAAUAACAACAUGCAGUACUGGAAGCGCAAUUAGUGCUACAAAUGCAAGUUUAGUUGUGAUGGACGAAAUCAAUCUAUCACCAUAAGACGUCAUCGGGCAUCGUCGGAGGCAGUAGUAGUAGUAGUAGUAAUUAACUGGCCCACGCCACGGUACCACGAAAGGUGAAAUUCUUCCUUAACAAUACCUUCCUCAGAAGAAGCAGCAGACCAUUGGCUGUCGCAGGAUUCUUCGAACAAUCUGUACAGUCUAGAUCAUGAUCAAACAAGAGAGAAUAAAACCGUUGUUUUGAGCUGUUGUUGUUCGUUAAGUUUUGUAAUACAUGAUUACUCUAGUACUUCACAGUAAUUCCUACAAAACAUGCCGUUUUAUCAUUUUCCACAGAAUCCUCCAGGAGGAAGCUUUACGAAAGGUUUUUGCUACCGAAAGCCGGAAUGGAAGUGGCCCGGUUCGGGAUCAGCCAACGAGGAGCGAAGAAACUGAUCUGCCAUGGAUACGAAUACGUCAAGGACCGAGACUUUCCGGAUUCGACCAAUUGGCGUUGUGCUUUGUUCCGCCGGCAGAAGUGCCGCGCCCGUGCCAUUACCAAAAUCAUUGACGGUAUCACCUACGUAAGGCUUACGAACGAUGCACACAGCCACGAUGUCCGGAUGUACCGGAGGAAUCCAGUGAUUAUUACGAAAGCGGACGAAAUGGAGUCUACAUAAGAAAGAAAGUAGUUUCUUUGUUGAAUUAUUGUAAGAAAAAUAUACGUAUAUCAGAAUGGGUUCACUGCCCUGUUUAAACUAUGUUUCCUUUAGUGGUUCCAAUGACUUACUAGAUUACUACUGCACUAAUACGAACUAUUUGCAUUUUUAGGUGUUUUCGAACCAGCUGUAUUCGGAACUACUCGUCGUGGUCAACAGAAACUAAUACACAAUGGGCAUGCGUACACCAAGGAUCGACAGUCGGCGAAGACUUGCAACUGGAAAUGUUCGCUCUUCACCCGGUACAAGUGUAAGGCACGUGCCGUUACGAGGGACAUCCAUGGCGUGGUGUACGUGAAGGUCACCAACACGCUACACUACCACCCGGUGGAGCAGUACAAGAUCAACUACCGAAAGGGGUUGAGCGUUAACCCAAUGAGUUUGGCGAACACUUUUAUCCCGCAUGCCAAGGAUGAGUCGUUUUGAGAUGUGCAAGUAUCGCUUAUAAGUAAGAGUAGGGUUUCUCGUCGCAAAUAUAUUGUGUGUGUUAGUGUUAUUCUAGUACUUCAGUUGAUAUAUUCACCCUAAUGAAACACUCUGUAAGAUGACAUCCGAUGACCAAUUAUUAUUUACUAGGAGUAGAGAUGAUUCUACUGCAGUUUUAGUACGUCAUUGUCAUACACUAAACUAUUCUGUACUUUUAGAUGACAAAGCUGUAUUCACCGAACGAGCCCAGUACGAGUACACCUCCCGAGGAACGCAGCGCUUGCUUCAUGGCGGAUAUUACUUCAGCAAAAACAAAACCAACGAAUCGAGCGGGCGGGUGAACUGGAAGUGCCAGUUUUACCAACGGCUGCGCUGCAAAGCAAGAGCCAUCACAAAGAACAUCAACGGAUACGACUACGUACGCGUCACCCACGAAGAGCACACGCAUCGCCAGGAUCUCACCGAGGAUGAGUUCCGUCGUCCCAAACGGAAAAGAGAUUUCUGAGUUGAGAAGUUUGGCAAAGUAACUGCGACACAAUCAUUUGAUGUAAAAUUGCAUGCCAAUGAGUUUUAAUAAAAACUUAUUUAUUUUUCAUUGUAUGAAAUUACGAUCCGUAAUGGUUUUGUUCUAGUACCUCGUUUUUAGUAAUAGCCUAAUAGUAUAGAACUACCUCACCAAAUUAUUAUUUUCUUGUUCACUGUGGAGUGAGUUGAGCUUUUACCAAUUUAAAUUUAUUUUCAGGCUGUUUCAGUUUGAAAAAAAAAAAGAAAUGUAUCGAAGCGAUUGUGUAAAUCUAGUAUUCCAAUAGAAAAGAAACCUUAUAACGACCGAAAGAACCCAUUUGCUCAAAAGAAGAUGACAUUCUAAUCCAUAUUUUAUCAUAUUUACAUAGCUCUAACUUAUUCAUAUUUUUUCAUCCAACCUAUCCCAAACAGUUAAGCUGAAAAUUGUUCAAUAUUCGACACGCAAAUCGGACGAGCACUACGACGAUGAUGAUGAAGACGGCGAUGAGGAUGACGAAGCGAGGACCCAAUUCCCGUUGGACCUGAAGAUGGUGGUGGGCCGCAAGGGACGCCCAAUGCUGCUGAUGGGUGGCCACGCCUUUUUCCGCAACAACACCCACAAAAGCAAAACCUACUGGCUGUGUGCCAAGAGUCGUUCGCUGAAGUGUCGUGCCCGCAUUAUCACCCUGGACGGCAGCGCCGGGCUGAUCCUCAAGAAUCAGAUUCAUAAUCAUCCAGCGGCGUUGGAAAAGUAACCGAGUUCGUGUGGCGCUGUACCAGACCAUUCUGGUACUUGAACAAAAAUUUGAUGUUCUCUACUUAAUAUUAUUUUCAGCGAUUGAGCGUAUUGAAAUUUGAAUUCUGUGCAAAUAAAAUGCCCGAAAUUGAAUUGAUCUUGUACUUCAAUUACUGAAUGGGCAAUGAAAGGUAAAUAACUUGCAAAACUUCUGUUUGAGAUUUCCUUUUCUUUUGAAAUAAAGGUUCUGUUUUUGAUUGCACCAAUCGUGUUUUAGUUUAUCUCACUCUAGUACUGCUAGAAAAUCUACUAACAUGCUACAUUCUUUUUUCAGUAUCUACAGUUAUCGAAUACGUUACGGAGGAAAAAGUCGAAAAUAGAAAACCGAUCAAGCCCACUCGCUCCAAGCGGACCAAACCCAAGCACAACGUAAAGGAGAUUAUAAACAGUACCCAAGGAGUCCCCGUGGUGUACCAGAACACACGUUUCGGAGCGGCUCAGGUACUCUUGGAGGACAUGGUGUACUCGUUCACCUACACGAAGAACCAAAUAAGCCACUACAAAUGCAGCCGAUACAGGAGCCAACAGUGCCCGGCCGAGGUAGUGGUCAGCAACAAGCUGGUCUACUAUCUCUGCGCUGCCCAUAAUCACGAUUUGGCCACCGGUCAGCAAUUGGAUGGUAUCUGCAGGUCGUAUCAAGCUAGAGAUUCGACGUAGGUGUUGAUUGGAUGUGGUUGUAAUGUACUGGAAUGGAGAAAAGUAUAUACAGCAUUCCUAGAUGACCAGUAAAGUAUGCGUUGACCUGAUUCCUUCGGGGCCGGAGAAGUCACCCUCCGAUAUCAUCUAGGGAUGGUUGACUAUGUUUCGUAGAAUAGCCUAAUUAUGUCCAAAUUUAUGUAAUACUUAUUAAAUAAUUUCAUUGGCAUUUCUAUUUAAGAUUGCAAUACUUACAGAAUUCAUAGCAUGAUUAUUUACAUAUCUACGUGAAGUACUAGAUUAAAGAAGAAUACAAAAUUAAAUGCAAUAUUCCUACACUAUCAAGAAAGUUUUGUUUAUGAUUAAGUUUUUUUUUUGUUUUUAUUAAUGUGUAUUUUAACUUAUAGCUAAUUCUACACUUAUAUGAUUAAGUUAAAGUGUUGAAUUUUCAAUUAAUCAGCGAGAACUGUCACUCUAACGCAACAAUCUUUCCAGAGGACCGUGAAAUCACCUUCAUUGUGGGAAGACUCGGCAACAUGCAGUUGAUCAUCGACGGUCACCUGUACACCCGGUCUCAAAUCAGGGAACGCAUCAUCAUUUGGCACUGCUCUCGGCAAAGAUCUGGAUGCAAAAGUCGGAUCAGCACCCUGCGAGGCGAACCGGGUACGGCUUACUCUUUCCGUGAGGACCACAAUCACGAGAGCAAAUUUGACUUCAAGAAUAGGGACAUUAAGGUUCUCAAGGUGGCCAAGUUGUUGAUUGUUGGCAAAAACCGUUAGAUUGUGUUGAUAUUUAUUGUAGGCUAAACAAUAAAAUAAAAAUUAAUCUUUCGUAACUUCAGUCUUGAUUCUGCGGUUCUGUUGAACUCAAUUUACCGUUUUGAAUAAAAAUUUUACGAAAGACUUGGAAAGAAAUAGUUAAAAAAUAUUGAUAAAAAAAUGGAAAUUUCACUAACCACUCCCAUUUAAAAUUUGCAUUGCAGAUCAAAAAAGUGACGAUAGUAAUAUCUACGUCGUGUGCACCUCCGAAGGGGAGUACAAGAUUCAGGAGAAACCUGCAACUACAGCGAGACAAACAAAAACAAGCAAAUAUCCAUCUAAGGCCUCGUCACCGAUACGGGUUGUUUGCAUCCUAGGCGGAUUUACAUUUCCGAUCUCCGAUGGCGAUGAAGUGGAACGAUUGGAAAAAUCCGUUUCGGAACGGGCCGACAUUCGCGAGGAAUAUGUGAAAUUGUUGAAGCGCAAAUCGAAACAUAUCAAACUAUUCCAAUUUAUGCCGUCAGUUUUCUCGGAUGAAGCUCUGGAAGGAUAUAACUUCAAUGGAGCAAACGUGCUUGGUAGGCGCAAGAUCGCCAUGAAAGGUUACAAUAUUUUCAGCAGUUGUUUCAUGGAUGCUUACGAAUCGGAAGGGCUAACUAUGGAAGAACUUGCCAACCAAAUAACCACGGCCAUCAAGCAGACUCGUAACAGAAUGCGUCAGCGUACCUUCCGGGUGAAGAGAUCUAUCGAGAAGAUGUUGAAGGAAAAAUCGGAACACUAGCUGGUUGUGUUCGUUCUGGAGUAAACUGGAAAUUUCACCGAUAACCCAUUCGGACUCUUGUAGAAAAUAAUUAAUGUAGUACUAGAUUAGAUUCAUACCUGACCGAUUAUGUAUUUUGUACUUAUUUGAUUCUAGCGAAUCAACUUAAUAAUUUUCAUGUAAACAAUAUAAAAGUAUCAUGAUUUUCAUA